rnacentral:lncRNA from 1 species
CACCCUACUGCCCACAUACAUUCCUUCUGCCACCACCUCUCAAGCCCGCCCACAUCUGUCCAUUUUCACACGCCUCUUGAAUCCAGGCCAUCUUCCCCCUCAUACCUAGGCUGCUGUGGUUCUCUACGAGCCAUUCCUAUCCUCUAAUCCACCCACCAUCCCACAGACUGAUCUGAUUGAUGUCAGUCUCUCUGUUUGAAAACCUCCAACUGCUGUCAGGAGGAGGCUGAGACUCCUCACUGGGACUUUCAAUGUCUUCUCGGAAUGACACCCAUCUACUGUUUUUAGCAUCCCUGUAGCCCCGGGCAUGACAUCAUACUUGAGUGGCCAGUCUUUCUUCCCUUUUAUGAAGGUCUUGGGGGCUAGUCUUCCUCACCCUCCAGUACCUUACAAACCAGCACUAAGUGAGCAAGACAAUCACCAUGUCCAGGUAGAUGUGUCCCUUGGCUCCAGUCCUCAAUCUCCAACAGUCUGGCUGUCACUCACAUUUUCUGCUUCACAGACAUCACAAACUCAUUAUCCAACUUGAAGCCUACCUCUCUCUAUCACUUGCUCACCCUGCCCUUCCACCAGAAACAGUGCAGAAGACAUCCCCGGCGGUCUGUGCUUCAAUUCUCCUGUGUCUCACCAUACCUAGUUGCUAUGUCCAAUCUACGCUGCCUCCCAAAUCUGCCUCAAGUCACACCCUUUGCUUCAUCCCCUCAUCUUCAUCUCACUUCAGAGUCCACCUCGUGUUCUGUUUUGCUACUUCAGCAGCCUCCCGAGCGGUUUCCUCCCUUCCACGCUUGGCACAACCUCCCCAGUCUGCUUCAGGGUUGGGUUUUGCAUCUGAGGGAUGCCGUUUUGGGGCAUGUAUCUCUAGGCAUAUCGCUCAACCUUGCUAAUUCUUGUCUUCCUUAUCUACAAGCUGGAAACAAUACGUUGCACGGUGAUAUUAAUGAUGAAAAGAGAUGACCUCAAUAGAGGGAGAGAUUGAGGCGCUCCAACACGCUGUGCGUGGGAGUAUAAAGUGCCAGACAAAGUUUAAGCAACGGGGCUAUGAUGUAGUCUUAGCACCAUGUCAUUAUUGUCCCAUGUGAAGUAACAGAACGGGUUAGUACACCUUUUAAAUUUCAGGAAAACUGUCAGAAGAUGUUUUGAGUGGACGGUGGGACACAAAGCCAUCUGGCUCCCUGUGGUGGUCAGUUCCAGGAGGCAUCAAUAUUGUACAGGUGGGUGCCCAGUUGCUUAGUCAAACACCGGCAAGAUGCUGCAAGACUGUAUUUAUAGGUACAGUGAACACUGUCAGCUUUAAGUAAAGGAGAUUACUGUCAAUCAUAUGAUUGAACCUCAGCCAAUCAGUUGACCAGAAGAGCAAACACCGUAAUUUCCCAGAAGAAAGUGGCAGAGAAAUCCUGUCCACAAUUCCAGCCUUUCUAGAUUAUCCUGGGGAUAUCAGGCUCGCUAGCGCCCAAACCAGUUCCCAGUUUCUUAAAAAAAAAAGUUCUCUCUCUCUCUCCUUCCUCUCUCUCUGUCUCUCUCUGUCUCUGUCUCUUCUUCCCUUCCUCUCUCCUCAUCUCCCUCCCUUCCUCCCUCCCUCCUUCGCUCCACGUUCUAUUUGUGGCAAUUGUGCCGAGGACUCUCCGAUGACAACGUAGACUAACAACUGAGAGCACACCGCUAAAGGUUUUCAGCAAGGAAUUUAGAGUGUAAAUAAAAGGCCUAGCCAUGGGGCUGGGGAGAUGGCUUAGCCAUUGCCUCUUGCAGAGGACCUGAGUUUGGUCCCAGUAGCCAUGUCAGGUGGCUUGCAACUGCCUGCAACUCCAGCUCCAGGGGAUCUGACACCUCUGGCUUCUGAGGGCACCCACACACAUGAGCGUGCAUACACACAGAUGUAAGUACACAUAAUUUCUGAAAAAGUACAUUUUAAAAGUACUAAUCAGUAUAGAAGCUUAAGCUCUAAAUAAACUAAUAAAGAUAAAGACCCGUC